AUUGAACGCUGGCGGCAUGCCUUACACAUGCAAGUCGAACGGCAGCACGGGAGCAAUCCUGGUGGCGAGUGGCGAACGGGUGAGUAAAGUAUCGGAACGUGCCCAGUCGUGGGGGAUAACGUAGCGAAAGUUACGCUAAUACCGCAUACGAUCUAUGGAUGAAAGCGGGGGAUCGCAAGACCUCGCGCGAUUGGAGCGGCCGAUAUCAGAUUAGGUAGUUGGUGGGGUAAAGGCUCACCAAGCCGACGAUCUGUAGCUGGUCUGAGAGGACGACCAGGCACACUGGGACUGAGACACGGCCCAGACUCCUACGGGAGGCAGCAGUGGGGAAUUGUGGACAAGGGGCGAAAGCCUGAUCCAGCCAUGCCGCGUGCAGGAUGAAGGCCUUCGGGUUGUAAACUGCUUUUGUACGGAACGAAAAGGUUUGGGCUAAUAAGCUGAGCUCAUGACGGUACCGUAAGAAUAAGCACCGGCUAACUACGUGCCAGCCGCCGCCGUAA
rnacentral:rRNA from 1 species